GAACGCNGGCGACGUGGAUAAGGCAUGCAAGUCGAACGGUUGUAGCAAUACAACAGUGGCGAACGGGUUAGUAACACGUAGAUAUCAACCCUUUACUCGGGCAUAACCUGGAGAAAUCUAGGCUAAUUCCCGAUAGUCCGGAAACGGUAAAGAUUUUUCGGUAAAGGAUGAGUCUGCGUCCUAUCAGCUAGUUGGUGAGGUAAUGGCUCACCAAGGCAAUGACGGGUAGGCGGAGUGAGAGCUUGACCGCCAACAAUGGCACUGAGACACGGGCCAUACUCCUACGGGAGGCAGCAGUCGAGAAUAUUUGACAAUGGGCGAAAGCCUGAUCAAGCGACGUCGCGUGUGGGAUUAAGAUCUUCGGAUUGUAAACCACUUUUCUAGGGGAAGAACUUUGACUGUACCCUAGGAAUAAGGGGUGACUAAACUCGUGCCAGCAGUAGCGGUAAUACGAGUGCCCCAAGCGUUAUCCGGAUUUAUUGGGCGUAAAGGGUCUGUAGGUGGUUUGUUAAGUUUCUCGUUAAAGCUCCAGGGCUUAACCUUGGAAAAGCGGGAAAAACUGGCAAACUAGAGGAUGUUAGAGGCUGAUGGAACACUUGGUGAAGGGGUGGAAUCCGUUGAUAUCAAGUGGAACACCGAAAGCGAAAGCAAUCAGCUGGGACAGUCCUGACACUGAAAGACGAAAGCGUGGGGAGAGAAAAGGAUUAGAUACCCUUGUAUUCCACGCCUUAAACGAUGAAUACUAGCUAUUGCAAGUGUCGACCCUUGCAGUGGCGAAGCUAACGCGUUAAGUAUUCCGCCUGGGAAGUACGGCCGCAAGGCUAAACUC
rnacentral:rRNA from 1 species